UGAGGCAGGAGAAUUGCUUGAACCCAGGAGGUGGAGGUUGCAGUGAGCCGAGAUCGCGCCACUGCACUCCAGCCUAGGUGACAGAGUGAGACUCUGUCUC
rnacentral:miRNA from 1 species